CAAACGGCCCUUUUCAGGGCCACUAUGUUCUAUGCAAUUGAUCG
rfam:Trichuris muris Edinburgh genomic scaffold, scaffold81